GACGAACGCUGGCGGCGUGCUUAACACAUGCAAGUCGAACGGAAAGGCCCUGCUUUUGUGGGGUGCUCGAGUGGCGAACGGGUGAGUAACACGUGAGUAACCUGCCCUUGACUUUGGGAUAACUUCAGGAAACUGGGGCUAAUACCGGAUAGAAGCUCCUGCUGCAUGGUGGGGGUUGGAAAGUUUCGGCGGUUGGGGAUGGACUCGCGGCUUAUCAGCUUGUUGGUGGGGUAGUGGCUUACCAAGGCUUUGACGGGUAGCCGGCCUGAGAGGGUGACCGGCCAAAUUGGGACUGAAAUACGGCCCAGACUCCGACGGGAGGCAAGAGUGGGGAAUAUUGCACAAUGGGCGGAAGCCUGACGCAGCAACGCAACGUGCGGGAUGACGGCCUUCGGGUUGUAAACCGCUUUCGCCUGUGACGAAGCGUGAAUGACGGUAAUGGGUAAAGAAGCACCGGCUAACUACGUG
rnacentral:rRNA from 1 species